GACAGGUAGACGAACUGCUUCCAGAUAAACCCGCUACUGCGGCAGAAGAGCUUGCGCUGUUUCCGCUACUCGUUGGCGAUGAAGGCGAUCCUUGGUCGGCCGGACACCACCAACGUAAGAAACUUAUCUACGCUACACCGAGCCAAAAAUACUGCGUUCGAUUUAGAGUCACGUUGCAAUUCAAGAUUCUGCACCAAUGUUUGAUUCCUUUAUUUCGUUACAGUAACUCCAGGGAGCUACGGUUCACGCAGCAACUGUAAUCAUAUCACGCGAUCCUCCGAUAUCUCCGAUAUAAAGAUUCUUCGAAACUUUGUAGGACUACAGAACGAUACCUACCACUUGUGAGCUUAGGUGCAGCGUCCUGGAACGCCGACGGCGU